UACGGGGUGCACCAGGCGCGAAAACUUCGCAAUGUGCGAAAGCGCGACGAGGGAAUCCCAAGUGCUGGCUCUUUUGAGUCAGCUGUUUUUAUGUCUAAAAAGCAUAGAGAGUAAGAGCUGGGUAAGACGGGUGCCAGCAGCCGCGGUAA
rnacentral:rRNA from 1 species